rnacentral:rRNA from 1 species
UAGGGAAUCUUCGGCAAUGGACGAAAGUCUGACCGAGCAACGCCGCGUGAGUGAAGAAGGUUUUCGGAUCGUAAAACUCUGUUGUUAGAGAAGAACAAGGACGUUAGUAACUGAACGUCCCCUGACGGUAUCUAACCAGAAAGCCACGGCUAACUACGUGCCAGCAGCCGCGGUAAUACGUAGGUGGCAAGCGUUGUCCGGAUUUAUUGGGCGUAAAGCGAGCGCAGGCGGUUUCUUAAGUCUGAUGUGAAAGCCCCCGGCUCAACCGGGGAGGGUCAUUGGAAACUGGGGGAAUUGAGUGCAGAAGAGGAGAGUGGAAUUCCAUGUGUAGCGGUGAAAUGCGUAGAUAUAUGGAGGAACACCAGUGGCGAAGGCGGCUCUCUGGUCUGUAACUGACGCUGAGGCGCGAAAGCGUGGGGAGCAAACAGG